UGCGUAGGCGGCUAUAUAAGUCAGGAGUGAAAGGUGCCCGCUAAACGGGCGAAGUGCUUUUGAUACUGUAUAGCUUGAAUAAGGUUGAGGUUAGCGGAAUGUGACAUGUAGCGGUGAAAUGCAUAGAUAUGUCAUAGAACACCAAUUGCGAAGGCAGCUGGCUAGACCUAUAUUGACGCUGAGGCACGAAAGCGUGGGGAGCGAACAGGAUUAGAUACCCUGGUAGUC
rnacentral:rRNA from 1 species